rnacentral:tRNA from 1 species
GGAAUGUGGCUCAGUGGUACAGCAAUCGCCUAGCACGUACAAGGCCUUGAGUUCAAUCCUCAGCACCA